rnacentral:tRNA from 1 species
GUCAUUGUAGUAUUGUGGUGAGUAUUCCCGCUUAUCACGCGGGAAAUCCGGGUUUGAUCCCUGACAAUGGUG